AUUGAGAAUUUGAUCCUGGUUCAGGAUGAAUGCUGGCAGUGUACCUUAAGCAUGCAAGUCGAACGGAUGAGGCCGCAAGGCCAAAUCAGUGGCAGACGGGUGAGGAUUGACAGGAACCUACCUUUUGUUGGGGAAUAGCUCGCCGAAAGGCGAGAUAAUACCGCAUAAGAUCGCAAGAUGAAAGGCCUUAACCGGCCGACGAUAGAUGGGCCUGUUUGCUAUCAGCUAGUUGGUGAGGUAAUGGCUCACCAAGGCUAUGACGGCUAGGGGACGUGAGAGCGUGGUCCCCCACAAUGUUACUUAGACACGGAACAUACACCUACGGGUGGCAGCAACUGGGAAUUUUGCACAAUGGACGAAAGUCUGAUGCAGUGACACUGCGUGUAGGAUGAAGGCCCUCGGGUCGUAAACUACUGUGAUAGGGGAAAAAAUUUUGAUGGUACCCUAUUAGAAAGUACUUGCUAACUACGUGCCAGAAGCCUCGGUAAUACGUAGAGUACAAGCAUUAUCCGGAUUUAUUGGGCGUAAAGAGUAUCGUAGGCGGUCUAUUAAGUAACGGGUUAAAGCCCGGGGCUCAACCCCGGAGAUGUCCGUUAAACUGGUAGACUUGUGGAUGUUCGGGGUUACUAGAAUUCUUGGUGGAAGAGUGAAAUCUGUUGAUAUCAAGAAGAAUACCAAAAGCGAAGGCAGGUAACUAGGACAUUCCAGACGCUGAUGAACGAAAGCUAGGGGAGCGAAAGGGAUUAGAGACCCCUGUAGUCCUAGCCGUAAACUAUGAACACUAGCUAUUUCCCGUAAGGGGAGUGGCGUAAGCUAACGCGUUAAGUGUUCCGCCUGGGGAGUACGACCGCAAGGUUAAAACUCAAAGGAAUUGACGGGGAAACGCACAAUCAGCGUGCCAUGUGGUUUAAUUGGAUACGAAACCUUGAACCUUACCUAGAUUUGACAUGUAACUGCAAAUCCCUGGAAACAGGGACUCCUUUCGAGGCGUCGGCUUAAGUGCCGUAACGAACGCAACCCCUGUGCUAUGUUAAAUAUCCAUAGCAGACUGCCUUGGAUUUUUCCAAGGAGGAAGGAGGGGAUGACGUCAAAUCAGCAUGGCGCUUAUAUCUAGGGCUACACACAUGGCGUAAUGGGUGGGACAACGGGAUGCCAAGGCGCGAGCCAACACUGCCCGUCAAGUCAACAAAGUCAGUAGUGCCCGAAGUAGGUACCCGCAACCGCAAGGAUCGGGCCUCCUAAGGUAAGACUGGCGAUGGGGGCUAAGUCGACAAGGUAUCCGUACUGGAAGGUGCGGAUGGAUCACCUCCUU
rnacentral:rRNA from 1 species